rnacentral:lncRNA from 1 species
UAAUGAUGAGGGAUAGGUAGAAAAGAUGGGAAGGGGGUCAGCUUGUAGAUAACCUAGACUAGCAGGUGUAUGACUUCUAGUCUCUGAACUGGAGCCAUCUGAGAUCAGUUUGAGAUAUGGUGUCUUAUAAAUGUAUUGAGAGAGGUUGAGGAGUUGUCUAUAGAAUGGAAUGGAGUGAGGUCAGAGAUCAGUGGCAAGGAAGACCACAUAAAGGUUUUUGCACAAACUUGCCUUGAUGGCAAGUCCUCAAAAGUACAAUUAUCAAGCUUUCUGUUUAAACAUGCAUAAGUCAGUAAAUAUAAACAUUAAAAUUUGCCCAAGACUCUUAACUCAGUUGUAUUUCAUAAUUAAAGUGUACAUUAAAAAGCCAAACUAGUCAUGAAAGUAUUACAUACAGCAAGGGCAGUUUAGAUAAGUUAAUGUUGCUAUGGGAACCCCAGCAGAUCUCCUUGUGUCUCCGUUUAAAAAUCAUGGCCCAAGGUGGUUUCAAAAACAACAGAAGGUAAAAUUAUUCUCACAUUCUCACACAUGUAAAUUGUACUGUCUCUCUCAGUUCUAAAUAGCGGAUUCAAGCCAGCCUCUUGACUGGCACAGUAAAAUUCGGCUUCGUGUCUUUCUAUAAUGUAUUACAGCAUGUGAGUUAACCUUUAGAAGCUUCAAAAAUACAUCAACCAAAUUUGGACUGUGAGACACAAACUGGUCUCUUUUGGGCUCUGUCCAGCAUAGCCUUCCUAUUCCACAUGGCUGCGCAGCAGGGCCAUUUCCACCAGUGUCUUCUGCUUGCCUGGUCAGUCUUUCUGUCUCUUAACCUACCUACAACAACUUCCUUCUCGGGGUUUGCUGCUAGAUAGAAAUGUAGAUUUUGGCACAGAAAGAAAAGGGAAAGACCUAUUUGGAAUUUUGUCUAUAGAUGUUAAGAAAUCAUGAAGCGUUGCAAAUGUAACUGCUUGGGUAUUAGUUUAAAAUAUUUGAUAACUGCAUGAAAUUCUAAUUUACCCCUCACAUCCAUAAAGCUAGGACCAGUUGGUUAGGCAGAGUUUGAUAUUUAAAAAUUCAUCUUCUGAGAGAGCUGAAUUUCAAAAGGACCAUUUUCUUUCCAGGAGUAAAAGGUAUAUUCUUUCAUCUUCUUACAGUACAGAAACAAUGGAAUAUAUUGUUUAAAUGCACCCUUCAUUUUUUUCUCCAUUUCUAAAAAUUCACUUUUGAGCAUCGUCCAAAUGUAAAAAUUCUCACACAUGAGGAACUGUUUCCGAAGGUUGUGAGAAAGUCAAGAUAACAGUUUCUAUUAUUAAAAGUUUUGCAUUCGGUAUGACACAUUUGCCUGUAUUGAAACACCCAUUUAACAUUGACUUCUGAGAACUUAUUUGCUUUGCCUCUCUCGAUUCCAUAUGCUUUGUCUACAAAUUGUGAACACGUCCCGGUUUCUACCCGUGUGUGAUUCUAAGUCGUUGCUGUACUCUAGCUUGUACGUGAAAAUUCACCCAUAUGCAGAUAGCUGCCCUCUUGGAGGCAAAACUUAAAGCUAUCAGAACCAUCUGGAUUGUUAAACCCCAAAACUUCCAACUCAUCAAAGUCCUGAAGCCUGAAUAGAUCACACAUUGUUACUUCUAAUUGGUUUUGAUGUUUGUUAUGCUCCUCACAAGUGCAGAUAACUUCACAUUUGCAUCACUAAUCGACCUCUUUCAAAGCCUCUGCUCCUCCUGCUUCCUGCCUCUGUUAGUCAUCAGGAGACUUAGUGUUGGCGUGGGUAUUUUCCCCGCUUGUGAAAGUGCAUUGUCAAUUCUAGAGCAUUAAAUAUAUGUGAGGUAUUGUUAUUAAUCUACAAGGCAGUACACACAGUAUUCCAGCAACAGUGACUUUUUCAAAGGUUUUAUGAGACAUUGUAAGAAAGACAGUAUCUUUCCAUGGAAAAAAGUGUUGCCUCAGAGUCAAACAGGAAGCAUGGGUCCUAGUUCCUAUUGAACUGCUUAGCUACUCUUAAUUUAGCUCUGAAUGCUAGAUUUUGUGUAUACUAUACACAUUAUUUAAUCCUCAAACUCCUAGGAAUUCAUUUUGAUGAUAACCAUUUACAGAAGAGAUGUUGGGUAACUUGCUCAGGAUACCACAUCUAGUAAGUAGCAGAGUCACAACUCGGACCCAGAACUCUCUGAUUCCAAAACCUCUACUUGCUGCUCUUGUAAUGGAUGGGCCCAAAUGCUGCUGGGAAAGGCACCAGGGAAGAAAGAGCUUUCUGAGUCAAGCAGAAAACGAUAGCAGUGGAGAGGAGUUUGUUUCAGACGACCUUCAAGGUUAUGGCUCAUUCUAGAUCCAAUCAUUCUAGCAAAUAAGUAGGUUACACUUGUCCACAAUUACAAAUUGG